CUAUAUGAUGAUUUUUUAAAUAUUCACACUGUACUAGGAGUUUAAGUACUCCAAUGACUACAUUAAACAAAAAACUGAUUUAAUGACUCUGAUA
rnacentral:snoRNA from 1 species